rnacentral:rRNA from 1 species
UGGGGAAUAUUGCACAAUGGGGGAAACCCUGAUGCAGCGACGCCGCGUGGAGGAAGAAGGUCUUCGGAUUGUAAACUCCUGUUGUUGAGGAAGAUAAUGACGGUACUCAACAAGGAAGUGACGGCUAACUACGUGCCAGCAGCCGCGGUAAAACGUAGGUCACAAGCGUUGUCCGGAAUUACUGGGUGUAAAGGGAGCGCAGGCGGGAGAACAAGUUGGAAGUGAAAUCCAUGGGCUCAACCCAUGAACUGCUUUCAAAACUGUUUUUCUUGAGUAGUGCAGAGGUAGGCGGAAUUCCCGGUGUAGCGGUGGAAUGCGUAGAUAUCGGGAGGAACACCAGUGGCGAAGGCGGCCUACUGGGCACCAACUGACGCUGAGGCUCGAAAGUGUGGGUAGCAAACAGGAUUAGAUACCCUGGUAGUCCACACCGUAAACGAUGAUUACUAGGUGUUGGAGGAUUGACCCCUUCAGUGCCGCAGUUAACACAAUAAGUAAUCCACCUGGGGAGUACGACCGCAAGGUUGAAACUCAAAGGAAUUGACGGGGGCCCGCACAAGCAGUGGAGUAUGUGGUUUAAUUCGACGCAACGCGAAGAACCUUACCAAGUCUUGACAUCCUGCGACGGUUCUGGAAACAGUAUUUUCCUUCGGGACGCAGAGACAGGUGGUGCAUGGUUGUCGUCAGCUCGUGUCGUGAGAUGUUGGGUUAAGUCCCGCAACGAGCGCAACCCUUAUGGUCAGUUACUACGCAAGAGGACUCUGGCCAGACUGCCGUUGACAAAACGGAGGAAGGUGGGGAUGACGUCAAAUCAUCAUGCCCUUUAUGACUUGGGCUACACACGUACUACAAUGGCGUUAAACAAAGAGAAGCAAGACCGCGAGGUGGAGCAAAACUCAGAAACAACGUCCCAGUUCGGACUGCAGGCUGCAACUCGCCUGCACGAAGUCGGAAUUGCUAGUAAUCGUGGAUCAGCAUGCCACGGUGAAUACGUUCCC